AUCUGCUGUGCCCUGGCUCCAGGCUGGCUGGAGUUUGGUGAUCUCCUCCUCCGCUGGCCCAGCCGACACCCCUGCCGCAGGUCCUGGCCCCACAGCCCGUGGGCCCCCUCCAGCCGGUUCCCCCCCACCUGCCACCGUACCUGGCUCCAGCCUCCCAGGUGGGGGCCCCCGCUCAGCUGAAGCCCCUCCAGAUGCCACAGGCGCCCCUGCAGCCGCUUGCUCAAGUCCCUCCGCAGAUGCCCCCGAUUCCUGUUGUACCCCCCAUCACGCCCCUGGCGGGAAUCGACGGCCUCCCUCCGGCCCUCCCAGACCUGCCGACCGCGACCGGGCCUCCCGUGCCACCACCUCAGUAUUUCUCUCCAGCCGUGAUCUUGCCGAGCCUCGCUGCCCCACUCCCCGCUGCGUCCCCAGCCUUGCCUCUGCAGGCUGUGAAGCUGCCCCACCCCUCUGGGGCACCCCUGGCCAUGCCCUGCCGGACCAUUGUGCCAAAUGCACCGGCCACUAUCCCCCUGCUGGCCGUAGCCCCACCGGGCGUGGCUGCCCUGUCCAUUCAUUCU
rnacentral:sRNA from 1 species